AGUUGCUUCGGCAGCACUGUACUGUAAUUGAAGUGAUACAGAGAAGAGCAGCACGGCCCCUGCUCAAGGAUGAUACUCAAUGCACGCAGCAUUCUGUAUUUUU